UUCAGGCAACUUAAUCAGGUGUGCCCACUGGAGAAUCUGCGGCAUGUUAAUCGGGUGCGUCGCCUUAUUGAGUGUGGUAAAAAAUCCGAGUUAUCGAUCAUCUUAUGCCUUUCCACUGGGAUUGAAAGUUCUAAGAAUGGGUUUUCUGAGGAUGUGCAGAAGGUAGUGGAGGCUUACCAGUUGAGCCCUUUCAUUGCAAAAGUUGCCAGCUAUCCUGCUAUGUCGAAAGAGGAAUGGGAGGAACAGUGCAAACUCUGGCCAACUUCAUAUCAUCCCCUGCAUGACACUGGUGGUGCAUCUGGAUUUAAAGAGGAGGAAUUACCAUCAAUAUUUGAUUGCAUGAGGACUGCUAUCGAAUUAUCAGAGGUGGGCAACACGGCCAUUAUUGUUGAUCCAUCAAGUAUGCAAAUAAUUUCAAAGGCUACAGAUGAAACACACCAGCAUGACGGCUUUCUGGAAAGGAACAGAUGUGUCAAUGUGGAAGCAGAUGGUGCCCACUCUUUGGCUGAAACAACUGAAGAUAAUGAUGGCAGGCUGUUGCUGUCAAGCUCCCAUGCUAGCCAUUGCUUGAACUUGGAGGUCUCAUGUAUAAACUCUUGGGGAUGGACAAAACAGAGGUCUUCUGAGCAGAAGACAUUGUCCUCUGAAGGUGGUUUUCUUUGGCAUCCUCUAAGACAUGCUGCCCUAGUUGCCAUUGAAAAUGCUGCCGAGAGAGAUCAAAAGCUGUUCCAUACUUCAACUUCUCCAAGAACGGAAUCAAACUUAAAUGGCGAUAUGGAGAAUUGUUCCGACAAUGAACCAGCAAAGCGGCCAAAGAUAGUUACAAAGGAUAAAGAAAAGGCUGAGCAUCAAGAAUGCGGGAGUGACUUGUCUGGAAGAAACAGACCAUAUCUCUGCACAGGAUUUGACAUCUACCUUGUUUAGGAACCCUGCACAAUGUGUGCUAUGGCACUUGUACAUCAAAGAUUCAAGCGUGUCUUCUACGCUUUCCCUAAUCCAAUCACUGGAGCGCUGGGCAGUGUCUACAGAUUGCAUGGGGAGAAAAGUUUAAAUCACCAUUACUCUGUGUUUAGAGUAAAAAUGCCAGAGCCAGAUUUGAAUGUUUCAAGUGAUUACCCUGAAAAAGGCUGCUCAGAUUUUGUACCAUCCUAG
rnacentral:rRNA from 1 species